rnacentral:rRNA from 1 species
CACGUAGGGCGCGAGCGUUGUCCGGAAUUAUUGGGCGUAAAGAGCUCGUAGGCGGUCUGUUACGUCCGCUGUGAAAACCCAGGGCUUAACCCUGGGCUUGCAGUGGAUACGGGCAGACUAGAGGCAGGUAGGGGAGAAUGGAAUUCCCGGUGUAGCGGUGAAAUGCGCAGAUAUCGGGAGGAACACCGGUGGCGAAGGCGGUUCUCUGGGACGAUACUGACGCUGAGACGCGAAAGCGUGGGGAGCGAACAGG